UACGUAGGGUGCAAGCGUUGUCCGGAUUUACUGGGCGUAAAGGAUGCGUAGGCGGACAUUUAAGUCAGAUGUGAAAUACCCGAGCUUAACUUGGGUGCUGCAUUUGAAACUGGGUGUCUAGAGUGCAGGAGAGGUAAGUGGAAUUCCUAGUGUAGCGGUGAAAUGCGUAGAGAUUAGGAAGAACACCAGUGGCGAAGGCGACUUACUGGACUGUAACUGACGCCGAGGCAUGAAAGCGUGGGGAGCAAACAGG
rnacentral:rRNA from 1 species